AUAUAAAUUAACCUCUUUCUCCUAGCACUUAUUAUUAUUUUAACACACACAUUUCGUAAAUUUAACCAUAAAAUAUGUGUUACCAUCAUCAUUGCAUUUUAAUAAUUAUAAGAGGUAAUUCGAGUUGAUUUAAUUAUUUAAUGAUUAAGUCUAAUGUGUACAGGUCAAGUCGAAUUAAUUGGGAUGAUGUCUGAACUAAUGUGUGCAGGUCGCAUUUGCAGCUGAACCUGUGUCCACAUCACCCUCUAAGUGCUUAGCGAUUAAUGCUCCAAGUUUGAUCCCAGC
rnacentral:lncRNA from 1 species